AUGGGCUGUAUCCAAAGCAUUACCUGCAAGGCGAGGAUCCGGCGCGAGAACAUCGUCGUGUACGAUGUGUGCGCCACCAUCGACCAGUGCCCCACGCGCAUCGAAGAGACCUCGCCCAUCGUCCUGCGCUACAAGACCCCCUACUUCAAAGCUUCGGCCCGCGUGGUCAUGCCCCCCAUCCCCCGCCACGAGACCUGGGUGGUGGGCUGGAUCCAGGCGUGCAACCAGAUGGAGUUCUUCAACACCUACAGCGACCUGGGCAUGUCAAGCUGGGAACUGCCCGACUUGAGGGAAGGGCGAGUAAAAGCCAUCAGUGACUCAGAUGGGGUGAGCUACCCUUGGUACGGGAACACCACGGAAACUGUGACCCUGGUUGGCCCCACCAACAAGAUCUCCAGGUUCUCCGUCAGCAUGAAUGACAAUUUCUACCCCAGCGUGACGUGGGCAGUGCCAGUGAGCGACAGCAAUGUGCCGCUGCUCACCAGGAUCAAGAGGGACCAAAGUUUCACCACCUGGCUGGUGGCCAUGAACACGACAACGAAAGAGAAGAUCAUUCUGCAGACCAUCAAGUGGAGGAUGAGGGUGGACAUUGAGGUGGACCCUCUGCAACUCUUGGGGCAACGGGCCCGGCUGGUGGGCAGGACUCAGCAGGAGCAGCCCCGGAUCCUGAGCCGGAUGGAGCCCAUACCCCCCAAUGCACUAGUGAAGCCCAAUGCCAACGAUGCCCAGGUCCUCAUGUGGAGGCCCAAGCGGGGGCCACCUCUAGUCGUGAUCCCUCCUAAGUAGAAGCAGACUGGCCUGACUGUGUGUGGAGCAUAUGCCGCUGAGACACGCAGUGAGGUUGCCAGGAGUGGCAGGAGCCAAACUGAGUUUCUGAGCCAAAGCAGACCUCGUGGUUUGCCAGCCUUUGCAGCCACUUGUGAAGAGUAGAGCUGCUCCUUGGGUGGUAGAACCAUAAUCCUUAGGAAAAAAAUCCCUUCCUUUUAGGAAUAAAGAAAAUCACUGCUCUGAGAGACUUGCUGUGAUUACCAUGCAAGUAGCCAUAUUUUGGAGCUGACCAGGAUGAUUAUUUUAUCUGAACUAUUGACCAUUUCUUUCCUGUGAGAUGCAGGGGAUGGAAAGAAAAUUAAACAGUGCCUGUGGCAAAUGCUGCUUCCCAACCAAUUAGAAGUGAAAGUGAAAACAUCCACACCAGGUCACCUAGUAGAACAAGGCACGCCCAGGAGCAGAACCACAUGGCAGAGACUAAAGAGGAGGAAGUGAGCAGUGGCUGCUGGCUCCAGAAGCUGAAGCCCUGGAUAGCUGACUUCCCAUUAAAAUGGGC